GGAUACCCUCUAGGUGAUAGUUCUUGAUUACUUUUUGAUAAUUAAUCCGUUCUUAUUGCAAAAUAGGAGCACUUUGUAUCAAUCUGCAAUAAAAGACGUGAGGAAAUUCUGUCCUUUUUAAAGACAAAAAUUUUUGAGGCGAAAUACCCAACAAGAAGUUUGUAAAAUAAUGUUGUUUUAUUUGAAAAACAAUCCUUCCAAUUGUUAUGUGGGGAAGAAAUCAUGAUAUUAUCGUUUAUUAAAAUCGUCUGCAUACAAAUAAGUACAGCCCUGUUAAAAGUUGUAACUGCAAUAUUUCAGAAACGAAAAGAAAAUGGCAACUUUCUCGAAUUAAUUUCUAUAAAAACUAGAACCUAACGUAUAUACUACUAGCUAAUUUACCCACAUUUCUCUUCAUCUGUUACAUCUUUAUCUUUACUACUCAAGAAGUUAAGAGAGGUAUUUUCAUCUGAAUCCAUUCUAUUUUCCACAUUGCUUACUGCUAAAUCCAAUUUCCUUUGUUAUUCAAUUUGACGCCCAGUUAAAGGAAAUCUCAGCCCCACAAAAAUUUCGACCCGUCAUAAAUCAGCCAGGCAAGCCUGAAAAGAACUCGGGGAUGAAAAAUUUACGACAUCCUGACUCAACAAGUGUUGCAUUCGCUGUUAAAAUGUGCAUUGAAUUAGAAUAAAAAUUCGAAAUAAAGGCUCGAAAUGCAGACGAUGCGGAUUGUAUAUGAUAUGCCUUCGAAACUUGCAAAUUCCUAUUCCCAUAGAAAGUGUUUCGUUGGCUUUCAUUUCAAAGGCAUGAGCUUCAACGGGUCCUAAAAUAUUCAUAAUUCGUUAAAAACCACCAAGAAAUUUAUUUUGUCUUUCCUCCAUUGGGUUGAGUACUUAAAUUUUUGUUCGCCAAUUCAGAUAUGAAAUCUUCAAAUGUUUCAUUCAUUAUUUGACUUUCUAAUUAGGGAAGCGAGACCGCUUUAAAGCACAACAAGCAUCAGACUCCCAGGUCCAAGUAGUUAAAUACACAUAUUGACACCAAAUAUUCUUUCCAAAAACCUACAAUAAAUAAAAUCUGGUAAAAUCGUUGAUAAUCAAUGGAACUUUUAAAUGUAAAGUCUGCAAACUAAUCUUUAGCGAAAAAACAACAUUUUCCAAACUUUAAUCAAGGGGUGUGAAACAACAAGAGAAAUGGAACAAAGGGAAUUGAGGCCAUUAAAAGAACUUAGGUAAUAAAAAACUCUAUUAGCUGUGUAAAAUGCCGUAGGAUUAUUGUUUCGUUUUUUAAUUGCGAUUGCAAAUAAAUCUUACCGGGUAAUUUAAGAAAUAAUAAAGUCGAUUAAUUAAAUGGUUAACGAGCUCGCUCUUAACUGAAAUAAAAAUGUAGAUGAUUAUCGCAAAUUCAGUCAUUAAGGCAAACACAUUUAAUCUGAUGGUAUAGGGUUGCAAAUAAAAAAAUGGAAUAUUAAGUACGUCGUUGAUGGCAAAUAAUGGAAAUGCGCUGAUAAUAAUAAUAAAAAACGACAGAGUAUUAGAAUAAAGGAAUUACAUCCCGAAUUGUGUAACAUUUUGUCCUUUUUACUAAUUUAGGGAUCUUUGGUAACAGAUUAUAAGAUUUUCUUCCUUUACCAUUAGGUUAUUUCACGUAACAGCUUAAAUAACAUCGGUUCGGACAUGUAACCUGUUACAGAACCAAUGUGUAUGCAAAUAAUCAUUAAGUUAUUUCUAUGACCGUUUUAAGUCGGCUAAACGCGUUCGUUCUUUAAGUAGUUAAGUAAAGUAACUAACAACUAGUCUAUAUUUGCUUUAUUUUUAGCAUAUAAUAUUUUCAGUUUAUUGAUGUUACCAUUAAAUUUCUUAACGCAGAAAAUCAUAAUUUGUAAUCACUAUUACUACAAUCAUCAAGUAUUUUGCAUAACAAUUUAUAAAGUAAGUCUGUUUAUUUCAUAACAUGACUUGGAUUCUAUUCUAGAAAAAUUACAGUAGGUAUUGUACACGCCCAUUGUCUAUAAAUCCAGUGAAAUAGUGCAGAUCCGCUUCCAAAUCAGCUUCAUCUUGGAUGCUAUUAAUAAAUUGGUGACCAGAAAAAAUAAAUCUGUUUUCUUUGGUUGGUAAAAAUUACAGCUUGCAUUAAACAGAUAAUGGAAUUUAUGUCCAAAUAAAACCCUCUACAGAAUUUGAAACAAAGUAGUUAUAUUAGUAUAUGUAUGUAGUUAUAUGUAUCAAAUUUAUUAUUGGUUGAUACCGCCACCUACUGUAAGUACUAUCUUAUAAUGUGCUAUAGAUGGAAGAAGAAAAAUCUGUAAAAUACUGACAGAAAAUGCAACAGGAAAAAAUCUGUUAUGUAUAUUAUGUAUAGAUAUAUAACGAUGUAAAAUAAAGAAGACUUUUAACGAA